rnacentral:lncRNA from 1 species
GUGAGUAGAGCCAAAAUCAAGGAGGCAGGCAGCAGUGUGGGGCUGCAAACCCCAAUACAUUCACAUGGAAAUGCGUUUCCUUUCAGUAAAAACCAUUCCAACUGAUGAAAAGAACCUUCAUGCAGCUACCUAUCAUAUAGGCACGAGCUUCAAAAUGACAAAUGUCCUGGAUUUUUUGAAAAAAUGCAACCAUUUGGAACAAGAUAUGUUGACAACUAGUGGUUCUGUGGAUAAUCCAUGUUGCUUGUUCUUUUUGGGAAGAGGACUAACAACAUUUUUGCUGAGAAAGGCAUAACUAUAAACCCUCAAGGACAGCAAAACCCACUCCAGUUUCAGCCUUACCUCUGAAAUGUAUCCAUCACUGGAGAAUGAGUGCAGCAUGACUAAUGGUGAUUAGGAGGACACAUGGGAUGAUGGAAAAAGAACUGAGCUUGGAAUCAGAAGGCAACUGCUCCUGUUUCAGUGCUAACCCUUACUGACUGGGUG